rfam:Brachypodium distachyon strain Bd21 chromosome 5, whole genome shotgun sequence.
CGACCCCAGUCAGCGGGACUACCCGCUGAGUUUAAGCAUAUAAUAAGCGGAGGAGAAGAAACUACAAGGAUCCCCUAGUAACGGCGAGCGAACCGGAGCAGCCCAGCUUGAGAUCGGGCGGCCGUGCCGUCCGAAUGUAGUCUGGAGAGGCGUCUCAGCGACGGACCGGGCCCAAGUCCCCUGGAAGGGGCGCCUGGGAGGGUGAGAGCCCGUCCGGCCCGGACCCUGUCGCCCACGAGGCGCCGUCAACGAGUCGGGUUGUUUGGGAAUGCAGCCCAAAUCGGCGGUAGACUCCGUCCAAGGCUAAUACAGGCGAGAGACCGAUAGCGAACAAGUACCGCGAGGGAAGAUGAAAAGGACUUUGAAAAGAGAGUCAAAGAGUGCUGAAAUGCCGGGAGGGAAGCGGAUGGGGGCCGGCGAUGCGUCCUGGCCGUAUGCGGAACGGCUUUGCUGGUCCGCCGCUCGGCUCGGGGCGUGGACUGUGUCGGCCGUGCUGGCGGCCCAAGCCCGGGGUCUUAGGUGCCCCCGGUGGCCGUCGUUGGCACGGCCGGUACCCGCGCGCCGCAAGGCGUGUCCUCGGGGCACUGCGCUGCAACGGCCUGCGGGCUCCCCAUCCGACCCGUCUGAAACACGGACCAAGGAGUCUGACAUGCGUGCGAGUCGACGGGUUCUGAAACUGGGAUGCGCAAGGAAGCUGACGAGCGGAGGCCCUCACGGGCCGCACCGCUGCCGACCCUGAUCUUCUGUGAAGGGUUCGAGUUGGAGCACGCCUGUCGGACCCGAAAGAUGGUGAACUAUGCUGAGCGGGGCGAAGCCAGAGGAACUCUGGUGGAGGCUCGAAGCGAUACUGACGUGCAAUCGUUCGUCUGACUUGGUAUAGGGGCGAAAGACUAAUCGACCAUCUAGUAGCUGGUUCCCUCCGAAGUUCCCUCAGGAUAGCUGGAGCCCAUACGAGUCUAUCAGGUAAGCCAAUGAUUAGAGGCAUCGGGGGCGCACGCCCUCGACCUAUUCUCAAACUUUAAUAGGUAGGACGGCGCGGCUGCUCCGGUGAGCCGCGCCAUGGAAUCGGGAGCUCCAAGUGGGCCAUUUUUGGUAAGCAGAACGGCGAUGCGGGAUGAACCGGAAGCCGGGUUACGGUGCCCAACUGCGCGCUAACCUAGAACCCACAAAGGGUGUUGGUCGAUUAAGACAGCAGGACGGUGGUCAUGGAAGUCGAAAUCCGCUAAGGAGUGUGUACAACUCACUGCCGAAUCAACUAGCCCCGAAAAUGGAUGGCGCUAAAGCGCGCGACCCACACCGGCCAUCUGGGCGAGCGCCAUGCCCCGAUGAGUAGGAGGGCGCGGCGGCCGCUGCAAACCCGGGGCGCGAGCCCGGGCGGAGCGGCCGUCGUGCAGAUCUUGGUGGUAGUAGCAAUAUUCAAAUGAGAACUUGAAGGCCGAAGAGAGAAAGGUUCAUGUGAACGGCACUUGCACAUGGGUAAGCCGAUCUAAGGGACGGGGUAACCCCGGCAGAUAGCGCGAUCACGCGUAUCCCCGAAAGGGAAUCGGGUUAAGAUUUCCCGAGCCGGGAUGUGCGUUGACGCGACGUUAGGAAGUCCGGAGACGCGGCGGGGCCUCGGGAAGAGUUAUCUUUCUGCUUAACGGCUGCCAACCCUGGAAUCGGUUCAGCGGAGGUAGGGUCCAGUGGCCGGAAGAGCACCGCACGUCGCGCGUGUCCGGUGCGCCCCGGCGGCCCAUGAAAAUCCGGAGACCGAGUACCGUUCACGCCCGGUCGUACUCAUAACCGCAUCAGUCUCCAGGUGAACAGCCUCUGGCCAAUGGAACAAUGUAGGCAAGGAAGUCGGCAAAACGGAUCCGUACUUCGGGAAAAGGAUGGCUCUGAGGACUGGGCUCGGGGGUCCGGCCCCAAACCCGUCGGCUGUCGGCGGAUUGCUCGAGCUGCUCACGCGCGAGAGCGGGUCGCGCGUGCCGGCCGGGGACGGACCGGGAGUCGCCCUUCGGGGGCUUUCCCCGAGCGCUGAACAGUCGACUCAGAACUGGUACGGACAAGGGAAUCCGACUGUUUAAUUAAACAAGCAUUGCGAUGGUCCUCGCGGAUGCUGACGCAAUGUGAUUUCUGCCAGUGCUCUGAAUGUCAAAGUGAAGAAAUCAACCAAGCGCGGGUAACGGCGGGAGUACUAUGACUCUCUUAAGGUAGCCAAAUGCUCGUCAUCUAAUUAGUGACGCGCAUGAUGGAUUAACGAGAUUCCCACUGUCCCUGUCUACUAUCCAGCGAAACCACAGCCAAGGAACGGGCUUGGCGGAAUCAGCGGGAAAGAAGACCUGUUGAGCUUGACUCUAGUCCGACUUUGUGAAUGACUUGAGAGGUGUAGGAUAAGUGGGAGCCUUUACGGGCGCAAGUGAAUACACUACUUUAACGUUAUUUACUUAUUCCGUGGGUCGGAGCGGGGCAAGUCCCUCCUUUGGCUCCAGGCCCGGUCUGACCGGGCCGAUCCGGGCGGAGACAUUGUCAGUGGGGAGUUUGGCUGGGGCGGCACAUCUGUUAAAGAUAACGCAGGUGUCCUAAGAUGAGCUCAACGAGACAGAAUCUCGUGUGGAACAAAAGGUAAAAGCUCGUUUGAUUCUGAUUUCCAGUACGAUACGAACCGUGAAAGCGUGGCCUAUCGAUCCUUUAGAUCUUCGGAGUUGAAGCUAGAGGUGUCAGAAAAGUACCACAGGGAUAACUGGCUGUGGCAGCCAAGCGUCAUAGCGACGUUGCUUUUUGAUCCUUCGAUGUCGGCUCUUCCUAUCAUGUGAAGCAGAAUUCACCAAGUGUUGGAUUGUCACCCACCAAUAGGGAACGUGAGCUGGGUUAGACCGUCGUGAGACAGUUAGUUUUACCCUACUGAUGACCGUGCCGCGAUAGUAAUUCAACUAGUACGAGAGGAACCGUUGAUCACACAAUUGGUCAUCGCGCUUGGUGAAAAGCCAGUGGCGCGAAGCUACCGUGUGCCGGAUUAUGACUGAACGCCUCUAGUCAGAAUCCAAGCUAGCAAGCGGCGCUGCGCCCGCCGCCUGCCCCGACCCACGUUAGGGCGCUUGCGCCCCCAAGGCACGUGCCAUUGGCUAAGCCGUUCCGGCCGACGAGCCGCGUCCGGCCGCCUCGAAGCUCCUUCCCCACGGGCGGCGGGCUGAAUCCUUUGCAGACGACUUAAUACGCGACGGGGCAUUGUAAGUGGCAGAGUGCCUUGCUGCCACGAUCCACUGAGAUCCAGCCCACGUCGCACGGAUUCGU